rnacentral:rRNA from 1 species
AUUGAACGCUGGCGGCAGGCCUAACACAUGCAAGUCGAGCGAGCGGCGGACGGGUGAGUAAUGUAUGGGGACUGCCCGAUAGAGGGGGAUAACUACUGGAAACGGUAGCUAAUACCGCAUACUAUCGGAUAACCCAUAUGGGAUUAGCUAGUAGGUGAGGUAAUGUCUCACCUAGGCGACGAUCCCUAGCUGGUCUGAGAGGAUGAUCAUCCACACAGGUACUGAGACACGGCCCAGACGAAUACGAAGGCAGCAGUGGGGAAUAUUGAACAAUGGGCGCAAGCCUGAUGCAGCCAUGCCGCGUGUAUGAAGAAGGCCCUAGGGUCGUAAAGUACUCUCAGUCGGGGGGCGUUACCGACAGAAGAAGCACAGGCUAACGCCGUGCCAGCAGCCGCGGUAAUAC